UGAGGAACACGACCUUCGGCGGGGGAUAGCCGGCCCAACGGCCGGGUAAUACCGCGUACGACCACAUGGGGACAUCCCUGAGUGGUGAAAGCAGCAAUGCGCCGAUGGAGUGCCUCGCGGCCUAUCAGCUAGUUGGUGAGGUAACGGCUCACCAAGGCAACGAUGCGUAGCCGACCUGAGAGGGUGAUCGGCCACAUUGGAACUGAGACACGGUCCAGACUCCGUAGGAGG
rnacentral:rRNA from 1 species